rnacentral:rRNA from 1 species
AUUGAACGCUGGCGGCAGGCCUAACACAUGCAAGUCGAGCGGAUGAAGGGAGCUUGCUCCUGGAUUCAGCGGCGGACGGGUGAGUAAUGCCUAGGAAUCUGCCUGGUAGUGGGGGAUAACGUCCGGAAACGGGCGCUAAUACCGCAUACGUCCUGAGGGAGAAAGUGGGGGAUCUUCGGACCUCACGCUAUCAGAUGAGCCUAGGUCGGAUUAGCUAGUUGGUGGGGUAAAGGCCUACCAAGGCGACGAUCCGUAACUGGUCUGAGAGGAUGAUCAGUCACACUGGAACUGAGACACGGUCCAGACUCCUACGGGAGGCAGCAGUGGGGAAUAUUGGACAAUGGGCGAAAGCCUGAUCCAGCCAUGCCGCGUGUGUGAAGAAGGUCUUCGGAUUGUAAAGCACUUUAAGUGGGGAGGAAGGGCAGUAAGUUAAUACGUUGCUGUUUUGACGUUACCAACAGAAUAAGCACCGGCUAACUUCGUG